GACGAACGCUGGCGGCGUGCCUAAUACAUGCAAGUCGAGCGGACGGAUGGGAGCUUGCUCCCAGACCGUCAGCGGCGGACGAGUGAGUAACACGUGGGCAACCUGCCUGUAAGACUGGGAUAACUCCGGGAAACCGGGGCUAAUACCGGAUAACUCUUUCCCUCACAUGAGGGAAAGCUGAAAGAUGGCAUCUCGCUAUCACUUACAGAUGGGCCCGCGGCGCAUUAGCUAGUUGGUGAGGUAACGGCUCACCAAGGCGACGAUGCGUAGCCGACCUGAGAGGGUGAUCGGCCACACUGGGACUGAGACACGGCCCAGACUCCUACGGGAGUCAGCAGUAGGGAAUCUUCCGCAAUGGACGAAAGUCUGACGGAGCAACGCCGCGUGAGUGAUGAAGGUUUUCGGAUCGUAAAACUCUGUUGUCAGGGAAGAACAAGUACCGGAGUAACUGCCGGUACCUUGACGGUACCUGACCAGAAAGCCACGGCUAACUACGUG
rnacentral:rRNA from 1 species